AUAGAGUUCAAAGCUUGUCUUUGAAACUUUGCAGUGAAUUGCUUCCAGAAGCAUUCCUGGACAGGCUGGAAGGAUAGGGAGGGUAGGCUGCCCUGGAGAGAUGUUUCUCUGUGAGCAGGCACAGGAGGGGCAGGCUGCCACCCAUGUACCACACCUAGAGCGGCAGCAGCUGGCAGUUGGCAAGCUCUGGGGCAACCUGAGAAGCAGAGCUCCAGCUGGAGGCCCAAGCAAACACUCAUGUCACAUUGCAUGUGAGAGGAAUUCCAGAGAAGACUGUUCCACAGCACAAACGACUGGACACCAGAGAAUCAUCUAGGCUGGCUGCUCCUUGCAGUGCAGCCCCAGC